rnacentral:rRNA from 1 species
GAUGAACGCUGGCGGCGUGCCUAAUACAUGCAAGUCGAACGCGCAGCGAGAGGUGCUUGCACCUUUCAAGCGAGUGGCGAACGGGUGAGUAACACGUGGAUAACCUGCCUCAAGGCUGGGGAUAACAUUUGGAAACAGAUGCUAAUACCGAAUAAAACUUAGUAUCGCAUGAUAUCAAGUUAAAAGGCGCUACGGCGUCACCUAGAGAUGGAUCCGCGGUGCAUUAGUUAGUUGGUGGGGUAAAGGCUUACCAAGACGAUGAUGCAUAGCCGAGUUGAGAGACUGAUCGGCCACAUUGGGACUGAGACACGGCCCAAACUCC